GUGUCAGCCGCCGCGGUAAUACAGAGGUGGCAAGCGUUGUUCGGAAUUACUGGGCGUAAAGGGCGCGUAGGCGGCCCCCUAAGUCCCGUGUGAAAGCCCCCGGCUCAACCGGGGAACUGCACGGGAAACUGGAGGGCUUGAGUUCGGGAGAGGGAAGCGGAAUUCCGGGUGUAGCGGUGAAAUGCGUAGAUAUCCGGAGGAACACCGGUGGCGAAGGCGGCUUCCUGGACCGACACUGACGCUGAUGCGCGAAAGCUAGGGGAGCAAACGGGAUUAGAAACCCCAGUAGUCC
rnacentral:rRNA from 1 species